rnacentral:lncRNA from 1 species
CUAGACAAUACACAAAGAAGGAUCUUUCCAACUGGGAGCAAGGUAACUUACCUUGACUGAGAGAGGGUCUUAGAUCUUGCCCAAGGGAAAACUUGAAGUCUUUAGAGUAGCAGACUGGGAAUAGGGACAUGAUGGAGACUGCCAACUCUUCUGGUAUCUUCCCAGAUUCUUUUCCUACAGCAAUUUGAGAUGGCAUUGGCUUCAUUCAUUUUCUCCCUCAGAGCUAGAAGUUUAUUCAACUUUAUACUCAAAGAAGACUCUCAUUUAAAGAGGCUUGACGGGGCAUUCUUGCUUGAAGAGUCCCCAAAGUGGGAACUGGCAAAGAAUGUUUGGAGCAAGCAGCCUUUGGCUCCUGCAAUUGGGUCCUUGCCUGUUUCACAGAAGAUGACACUGGCAUUCCCAGUUGGCAGCCAAGUUGGAAGGCUUCUCUCUUCCAUAAUUAGAAGACUCUUCCUCCUCAUCUUUGGCUUCUUGGAAUUCCCAGCUCCCUUCAAGGUUCAGCUAAAGUAUCAUCUGCUAUAAGGGGCUUUUCCUGAGCCCCAUGGUUGUUGAAUUGUAUUCUUUGCUUCUAAUUUCCUUUGUAUAAAUGUUGUAUUUCUUAUCUGUGUAUUCGUUAUUCCCCUUUAGCAAAAUGAUAACUCCAUGAGAGUACACUGUCAUGGUAUUUGAAUUCCAGGACCUAGAGCCAUUCUUUGUAGGUGCUUAAUAAAUAUUUGUUGCAUUGAACUGAAUCUUCUGAG